UACGGAGGGGGCUAGCGUUGUUCGGAAUUACUGGGCGUAAAGCGCACGUAGGCGGCUUUGCAAGUUAGAGGUGAAAGCCCGGGGCUCAACUCCGGAAUUGCCUUUAAAACUGCAUCGCUAGAAUUGUGGAGAGGUAAGUGGAAUUCCGAGUGUAGAGGUGAAAUUCGUAGAUAUUCGGAAGAACACCAGUGGCGAAGGCGGCAUCCUGGACUGGUCCUGACACUCAUGAGCGAAAGCGUGGGGAGCGAUCCGG
rnacentral:rRNA from 1 species